GAUGAAGAACGCAGCGAAAUGCGAUACUUGGUGUGAAUUGCAGAAUCCCGUGAACCAUCGAGUCUUUGAACGCAAGUUGCGCCUCAAGCCAUUAGGUUGAGGGCACGUCUGCCUGGGCGUCACAUAUCGUUGCCUGAUGCCAGUUUCCUCGUGAUGGGUGACUGUGCAGGGCGAAUGAUGGCUUCCCGUGAGCAUUGUUGCCUCAUGGUUGGUUGAAAAUUGAGUCCUUGGUAGGGAGCGCCGUGAUAGAUGGUGGUUGAGUGACGAACGAGACCCAAUCAUGUGACCCCUACCGAAUUUGGCCUUCAUGACCCACAUGCGUCUUUGGAACGCUCAUGACGAGACCUCAGGUCAGGCGGGGCUACCCGCUGAGUUUAAGCAUAUCAAUAAGCGGAGGA
rnacentral:misc_RNA from 1 species